AGAGAGGGAAAAUUUGGGCAGUAGUGCGCACCGGAAAACUCAAGCCGGCAUUACUUCUCUAAUAGUCGUCCUGUACGCUUGUUCAGUAAAUACCGUAGAAGUGCAAAAAUGCUCAAGUAUGCUGCGAUCAAGUUUCAUUGUGAUCCGGAAAAAAUCUACGUGAUUCGGGCGAAGAAACAUUUGAAGUUUGAAAAAAAAUUUUAUGUAGACAAAUUAAUAUGUAAAGCGCGUUGGAAGUGCAGACAAUCCUGCAAGGGAUCUGAGCAUAUGGACGAUGAUGAUCAUCGGUGUGCUGAAGUCCUUCUUAUGGGCAAUUGCCAUGAUAAUAUCGUAACCAUGCUGCAACGUUAUCAUCAACUUACCGUGAUCCAGAUCGAGGAGCAACUUGAAAAUUUGCCAAUUGAGCAAGAAGCAAGUGAUAGAAGCUGAAAUAUUAUAAAUGUAAACGAAAGCGAGAGUAGCUGAACCAAUCAAGGUGACCAGCCAGGCAGACAUAUUUUAACAGAGGAUGCUAUCUGUAAUAGUGACCAAUACAGUCCGGAAGGGAACGAUAGAGAAUUCAGUGCAGUCGUAGAUGAAUCGUACUCGAUCGUAUUGAGGCUGAGGAAAAGAAGCCGUAUGGUUGCGAAAUAAAUAGUACAACAGCGAUCAGCAGGGCACCCAUGCGGCUACCGAUGCUACACUGCAAACUUCUGGCGAUUCAGUUCAUAUUGUUGUUUACUUCACAUCUUAUCGUGAUUGAAUAAUUUUUUAAUAGAAAAAUUGGUUUGGGUAAAAUAACUAAUAGAUAUUUUAUGACGCAAUUUAAUGUAGAUUUCACACGUAUACAUGAGAAUAUUGAAUAAAUAG